GAUGAACGCUAGCUACAGGCUUAACACAUGCAAGUCGAGGGGUAGCAGGGUAGCAAUACCGCUGACGACCGGCGCACGGGUGAGUAACACGUAUCCAACCUUCCCAUCACUCGGGGAUAGCCUUUCGAAAGAAAGAUUAAUACCCGAUAGUACUUUUUUGAGGCAUCUUGAGAAAGUUAAAGAUUUAUUGGUGAUGGAUGGGGAUGCGUUCCAUUAGAUUGUUGGUGAGGUAACGGCUCACCAAGUCUUCGAUGGAUAGGGGUUCUGAGAGGAAGGUCCCCCACAUUGGUACUGAGACACGGACCAAACUCCUACGGGAGCAG
rnacentral:rRNA from 1 species